UGGGGGAUAUUGGACAAUGGGGGGAACCCUGAUCCAGCGACGCCGCGUGAGGGAAGAAGGUUUUCGGAUUGUAAACCUCUGUUGACGGAGAAAAAGAUGAUGGUAUCCGUUAAGGAAGCCACGGCUAACUACGUGCCAGCAGCCGCGGUAAUACGUAGGUGGCGAGCGUUGUCCGGAAUUACUGGGUGUAAAGGGAGUGUAGGCGGGGCAUUAAGUCAGAAGUGAAAAUUACGGGCUCAACUCGUAACCUGCUUUUGAAACUGAAGCUCUUGAGUGAAGUAGAGGCAAGCGGAAUUCCUAGUGUAGCGGUGAAAUGCGUAGAUAUUAGGAGGAACACCAGUGGCGAAGGCGGCUUGCUGGGCUUUUACUGACGCUGAGGCUCGAAAGCGUGGGGAGCAAA
rnacentral:rRNA from 1 species